rnacentral:rRNA from 1 species
UACAGAGGGGGCAAGCGUUAUUCGGAAUUAUUGGGCGUAAAGGGCGCGUAGGCGGCCUGGCAAGUGGAAGGUGAAAUCCCUCGGCUUAACCGAGGAACUGCCCUCCAAACUGCUUGGCUUGAGUCCGGGAGAGGUGAGUGGAAUUCCCAGUGUAGCGGUGAAAUGCGUAGAUAUUGGGAGGAACACCAGUGGCGAAGGCGGCUCUUUGGUCUGUAACUGACGCUGAGGCGCGAAAGCGUGGGGAGCGAACAGG